rnacentral:rRNA from 1 species
GACGAACGCUGGCGGCGUGCUUAACACAUGCAAGUCGAACGGAAAGGCCCUGCUUUUGUGGGGUGCUCGAGUGGCGAACGGGUGAGUAACACGUGAGUAACCUGCCCUUGACUUUGGGAUAACUUCAGGAAACUGGGGCUAAUACCGGAUAGGAGCUCCUGCUGCAUGGUGGGGGUUGGAAAGUUUCGGCGGUUGGGGAUGGACUCGCGGCUUUCAGCUUGUUGGUGGGGUAGUGGCUUACCAAGGCUUUGACGGGUAGCCGGCCUGAGAGGGUGACCGGCCACAUUGGGACUGAGAUACGGCCCAGACUCCUACGGGAGGCAGCAGUGGGGAAUAUUGCACAAUGGGCGGAAGCCUGAUACAGCAACGCCGCGUGCGGGAUGACGGCCUUCGGGUUGUGAACCGCUUUCGCCUGUGACGAAGCGUGAGUGACGGUAAUGGGUAAAGAAGCACCGGCUAACUACGUG